GAGCUUUCCCCCUUGUUUUCUCUCUGGAGAGGAAGGGCUGUAUGUUUUUCAAGCUUGGCAGCCCUGUUAGCAAGGCUCUCCCCCAUAGAUAAAUGACAUAGUACAUUGAUGCUGUGCCUUCCCAGCCCUGCACGCACCUGGGCUCUGCCUUCCCACAGCCUCCAUCUCAGCAGGUUCCUGAUUGCUGCCAUUCAUACAUGCAGAGAGCGGCCGGACGCCCAAGCAGGAGCCGGUCUUCAGGAGGGUCACCAUGGAAGACAGCGUCAUCUAACAUCUGCACCACACUGCCCCCGCUCCUCACUGCCGCGGUUUGCCCAUCCUGCCACGGGAUGGCCCAACAGGAGAGGCCCAGCCACCAGCCUCGAGAGAAUCCUCAGCAAACCCUUUCACCCUCACGGAGAAACCAGCCUGGCCAGGCUUUCUGCUGCACUGAGGACCACACCUUCUUGCUUGUCUGGUUUGCUGCUUUUUUUAAGAUGAGCAGAACUGGCAAAAAGAAAUUCUUUUGUAGUUCUGUCUGCUCCUAAUGUUGGCUUCUUGACUGGAAAACACAGACAUGAGCGUGCUUGCCUCACUUCCCGGACCCUGAUCUGCUGCAACCAGGUCCCUGCUAUCAAUACAGGGGUCAAGGAAGGAAGGAAAAAAUAUACAAAGAAAUGACCCUGGUGCCAGAAGGUGAAUUGCCAUCACUUGUAAAUAGGGAUUGACCAGCACACGUACCUAGCAAAGGCUUCUGGGAAAUGUCGCUUGGAUUUUAUUGUCAUGUGUAAAUAGAGAUAUUUUUUGUAAAAAUAAGCCUUAGUUUCUUGCGGAUCACAAUUAUCCCUCAGCUCAGCUGGGGAUAAAUGGACGCAGAGCCUGGCAAGGGUCCUGCAGCCCAGCCGCACUGCGGCAGCAUGGGGGACAGCCAGAGGAUGGAGGGCAGAGGACUUAGUAGGAGUUUCUCCUUUACUCCUACCAACAGAAAGGACUUUCUGGCCUGUGUUCUCCCCACGGAGCUAUACCCACUGAGGGCUUGGGUACCUUGGUGCAGGUGUGGGUGGGAUGGGCAACAUCAUCAUGAGGGAUACAAACCGUGUUGGUGUGGUUCCCCUGAGUCUUUUAACAUUAAUUAAGAAAACAGAAAAAAGGAAAAAAACACACCAGAUCCUGAAUGGCACUGGGCCAACUCUUCGGCUCAGUGCUGCGAUGCCAUGCAACAAACAGGGUUGUGCUUCAGCACAGGUUUUUGAAGAGUAUGGCAACAGUGGAGGAGACAUGAGGUUUCACCUUCACCCCGCACAACUCAAAGGCUUCUUCUUCCUUUUUUACUCUGAGUCCGACUGCAUGGAUUCAUGCAGCAGAUGGAAAAUACAUACCAGACUGAAAAAAAAAAAAAAGGAGAUUUCUGAAAAAAUGACCCAGAAUAACUUCCUCUAGACAUAAAAGGCUGUCACCUUUUCUUUUUUGUUGUUUUUUUUCCCAGAGAGAAAAGUAGGAAAGAUUUCUUCUCAGAAAGAGUGAUGAGAUGUUGGCACAGGCUACCCAGGGAGGUGGUGGAAUCACCAUCCCUGGAGGUGUUCAGGAGAUAUGGAGAUGUGGCACUGAGGGAUGUGGUCACUGGGCAUGGUGGGGAUGGACUUGUGGUUGGAAUUGGUGAUCUUAGAGGUCUUUUCCAACCAUAAUGAUUCUAUGAUUCUACGAUUCUAUGUAGAUCAGGAAAAAAAAUGAAUACUCCCCUGCUUUGUGCCAGAAAGGUUCUGGAAAUGAGCCAGUAAAUUAAGAAGAAAAGAAAAAAACCUCCCAGGAGUUAUGAAAGAUUUCGGCCCAAGGAGAUGAGCCUAUGCUUUCUACAGCCCAAAAGUUGAGUGUUGAAUCCUGGCCUGGGGAGAUGUGGGAUGCUGCAUAGGGUGAAAGGCAGCUGUGAUUGAAAGCAGAAAUGCCCUGGGUUUUUUUUUUUCAGGGUUUUUUUUUUUUUUUCCCCCAGUAAAUCACUGGAAAGCAGCUGGGUUGCUUUUUUUCCUCAUUGGAGCCCUCCCUAUGAGUUUUUCUCCACAGAUAACUCUGUCCUCCUGCACCCAAAGCUUUUGGUGUGAUGUCUAGAGGAGUUAUUUUACAGCCAGCAGUGGCAAUGGGUGCACUUUGACACUUUGUCACUGGUGGUGACAGCUCAGAGCCCAGCCCAAGUCCUAACAAAAAUGACAAAUCCCAUCCAGCCCCUCCACCCUGAUGGCACGCAGGUUGGCAGCUGCAGACAUGAACCACCAUGACAUGGGAUAAUGCAACCAGCCACAGCUGGAGGAAUCCGAGAUUUAAUUGGCAAAGCCAGUGCAUCCCAUUAGCACCCCCAAGUCAUGCUGCUCCCCUGGCAGAGGUUUGGUUCAAGCCAGCCCCAAGUCAACAGUGAUUUACGUUUCACUCGCUUUGCGUAUCUUCAGUGGACUUCCUUACUCCUCAGGCAUGGAAUGAAUCUUAAUACAUUGUAAUUACUGUACUCCUGUUGAUGAAACAGUAUGAAAAGCUAUCACGGAGAGCA
ensembl:lncRNA